AACAGUGCUUCUCCUUGCCCCAGGGCACGUGGCCUGACAGCCUUCCAGUCUAGCCCGUGGCUCCCAUGUCACGUGCCUCUCCCCUCCGUGCCAUCUGUUUCCUUACUACCCGAACAGAUCCUACAGAUCAUUAAAAUUGGGAGGAACAGAACAUGCAGGGGCAUCUUCGGGGAGUGACCGAAAAUAAGCAUUAUUCGUCAACAGGACAACUAGGCCGUGAUGAAGAUGAUGGAGAGAAACCGAUGUGUUAAUGGACACACAGUGCAAAAUCAAAGUCUUUUUUUUAAAAAAUGAAGUAAAAGAGCUAAAAGUAAAACAAGUCACCAUUCCUUUACUGGAAUUUCUCUCCAUUCUCUUUGAAGUGAGAUUAGCAUUAGUGAUGUAUGAAUAAUGGACUAAUGGUCGACCCCAAAAUGUGGCAGCCCCAGAAACAAGUUAUUGAUGAUCAUUUAAAAAUACGAGUGUAUAUGGAUUGUGCUUUAACAUCUUACUUCUGGAAACGCAAAUGCAAAAUGAGGUGGCUGUGAAAUGGCCCGAAGGAUGCAGUUCUGAGUGCUGUGUGAGCAAGAUUCUCCGAGGAAAAGACACAUGGAGAAACAGGGAAGUAAGAAUGUAAUGUUUUAAACAUGUAGCACUUAAAUCAUUAAUUUAUGAGUUGAAUAUGGUGUUCUUAGGAUAAAAAUGCUAAAAAGCAGCUUAAAUAUUCUCUCAGGAAGACAUCAUUGAGCAGAGGGUCUGGCUCUGGGUUUCUCCUCUGUGUCCUGCUUCAAGUUCAGAUGAGGCUCGUGAUGCUUGCUAAUUGUCUAUGCUUUUCCUUUUAUACGUUUAUGAGCCUUUUGUGAUUUCUUGAGUGAAUUUCCCAUUCACAUCCUUUACUCAUUUUAAUGGAUUGCUGAGCUGAUCUUUUUCUUCUUUACUAAAGCAUCAUUAGAAUUUUUAUAUGUAUAUAUUCAUAUAAACAUU
rnacentral:lncRNA from 1 species